rnacentral:piRNA from 2 species
CAGACAUGGGCAAAUGGAAGCGUUCUC